rnacentral:rRNA from 1 species
GAUGAACGCUAGCGGGAGGCUUAACACAUGCAAGUCGAGGGGCAGCAUAGGGUAGCAAUACUCUGAUGGCGACCGGCAAACGGGUGAGUAACGCGUAUGUAACCUACCCUGUACAGGGGGAUAACCCGGAGAAAUUCGGACUAAUAUCCCAUAACAAUAUCCGGGGGCAUCUUUGGAUAUUUAAAGUUCCGGCGGUACGGGAUGGGCAUGCGUAACAUUAGCUAGUUGGUAAGGUAACGGCUUACCAAGGCUUUGAUGUUUAGGGGUCCUGAGAGGGUGGUCCCCCACACUGGUACUGAGACACGGACCAGACUCCUACGGGAGGCAGCAGUGAGGAAUAUUGGUCAAUGGGCGCAAGCCUGAACCAGCCAUCCCGCGUGCAGGAAGACGGCGCUAUGCGUUGUAAACUGCUUUUCCAGGGAGAGAAACUUGCGCACGUGUUGCGCAAUUGACGGUACCCUGGGAAUAAGCAUCGGCUAACUCCGUGCCAGCAGCCGCGGUAAACGUGCGUG